rnacentral:lncRNA from 1 species
UAAACAAUAAAUUUAUAUUAGCCAUGAUAUUACUUGGAAAAAAAUGCAAUGAUUGUAAAAGAGGCCAGGAAAAAUAGCUCCCAGGAAGAAAUGUCAUCAAACUUGUUUUUAUUUUUUGUUUGAAAGACAUAAGAUGAUUUGAUAAAAAAUUUUAUUUUUGUAUGGGUAAAAUAAAAACAAAACAAAAACACUACUGUAAACAUGCUUAGAAGGUUUUCCUCUCAUUGUCAACUUUAAUGACAAGGCGUUGGACCUUUAAGUAAUCAAUUAGUACCAAUUGCUUCAAACCAACAAUCCACUUUUCACAAAGGCAGAGUCAACUGAGUAGUGGUUUUACUAUUGCCAUGGGAACCCAUGUUGCAGCCUGUGUUACCAGGUUCUGUAACUUCUUAAAGCACUUAGUUUUUCUAUGAGAAUGCAGGUGGCUAUCCUAUCCUAUUUUUAUUUAUAUAUGGGUAUUUCUGCUCAGUUUUAGCUUGAGAUGUGUUUCAGUUUGUUGCUUUGAAAGCAUAUAAGAUAUAUACACCCAAGCUAGCUCGUGUAAGAAGUGGGCUUAAUGGAAGAAUAAAUAAAAACCAAAACGUUCAGUCGUAUUCAGACGCUUCUGAACAGAGACAAGUUCAACUCCUGAGCCGCAUUCUCAAUUUCAGAUUCGUGAGAAAAAUGUCUAAUUGAUCCAGUGAUCCAGCUGAUCUUUUUGCCAGCAGUCAUGGAAUUUUGGCUGGUCUACUUAUUGGCUACUCUUGAUUUAGACACCUGUUCAUAGUCCAUUCAACUGCAUGUGAGAAGAACAUGUCAUCUAGAGUAUAUAUGAAAUACUAGAGAUGGCAUGGGUAGUAUAUGUUGAGUACUUCUUGAUAAGUUAUACUCAUUUAUUCAUUCAGGCACUCCACAAAUAUUUGUAGAAUUCUA